UACAGAGGGGGCAAGCGUUGUUCGGAAUUACUGGGCGUAAAGGGCGCGUAGGCGGCCCGCUAAGUCGAACGUGAAAUCCCCGAGCUCAACUCGGGAACUGCGUCCGAUACUGGCGGGCUUGAAUCCGGGAGAGGGAUGCAGAAUUCCAGGUGUAGCGGUGAAAUGCGUAGAUAUCUGGAGGAACACCGGUGGCGAAGGCGGCAUCCUGGACCGGCAUUGACGCUGAACAGCGAAAGCCAGGGGAGCAAACGGG
rnacentral:rRNA from 1 species